GCUGCGCCGGGUCACGUGGGCGCUGGCGGCGGCACCUCCCCCGCGGGCGGAAGUGGCCGUCAGGGGCCGCCAGGGGCCCGGGCCGUGCUGGGGCCCCCGAGCCCCGCAGAGCCCCCAGAGCCCCCCGAGCCCCUCAGGGACCCGGCACCGCCGCCCGCUCGCCUCUCCUCCUUCCUCAGCCCAGCUGGGCGGGAAGAAGGCAAGGGGAAGAACGGGCUCGCUGCGGCCCCGCGGGGAAAGGGAACGGGGGGAACCAGCCCGGCGUCUGGAGGGGGCUCGUCCUCCCCUCCCGCCCCCGGGGUUGGCGUGCAGCGGAGAAGCCGCGCUGAGCGAGCGCCUGUCGCCCCCUGCAGCCGCCGGGGCACGGAGGGAAGGGGGGUUUGGGCCACCUGCUGCCCUCGGAAUCGCAGAAUCAUGAAGGCACUCCAUUUCACUGGAGCUGUGAAUGGAAAGCCCACGUGAACUCUGGGAAGGAAGAUCCUGAUCACAAUCCCUCGAUAUUUGGAUCAGUUGGAGCCCAGUCCAAUCCACACCUUCUGCAUCGCCACGACCCGGGUUUGGCUUCUGAAAAAUUGCACUUCCCCACAUCUUUUAGAAGCAUUUUUCAAUGGGAUUGUUUCAGAUGUUACCACCACAGCAGUGACAAAAUGAGUGAGAAGAGAGCCAGAAGGGUCCUAAAUGUUUUCCUCCAGGAAUGAACAGACACAGUGGUCCACAUGAACUGAAAACCAAAACCCUGUAGAAGAUUAUAAUCCUUUUUACCAUCAAAGCCUGCAGGAGCAGCGUGAAAGGGAGGAACUGCCAGAUCAAACCGAAAUUGUUUCUUCCCUGAAGAAAUUCCUGCUGAUGUCCCACCUGAACCUCCCCUGGCACAGCCUGAGGCCAUUUCCUCUUGCCCUGUCGCUGGAAAACCUUGGCUCCAGAGCAGAAGGGCUGCAGAGAAAUUGCCAAAAUGUUGGGUUAAUUAAGUUAGGGAGAUCUUGUGAUUGUCACCUUUUUCCUGGACGCUUUUCUUUCACUAGCCAUAUAUUGUAAAUAUGUUUGAUACGUUUUAUAUCGGUUAUGUAUACAUUUGUAUAUAUAAAUCACACAU